rnacentral:rRNA from 1 species
AGAGUUUGAUCAUGGCUCAGAACGAACGCUGGCGGCAUGCCUAACACAUGCAAGUCGAACGAGACCUUCGGGUCUAGUGGCGCACGGGUGCGUAACGCGUGGGAAUCUGCCCAAAGGUUCGGAAUAACUCGGGGAAACCCGUGCUAAUACCGGAUAAUGUCUUCGGACCAAAGAUUUAUUGCCUUUGGAUGAGCCCGCGUCGGAUUAGCUAGUUGGUGAGGUAAGAGCUCACCAAGGCGACGAUCCGUAGCUGGUCUGAGAGGAUGAUCAGCCACACUGGGACUGAGACACGGCCCAGACUCCUACGGGAGGCAGCAGUGGGGAAUAUUGGACAAUGGGCGAAAGCCUGAUCCAGCAAUGCCGCGUGAGUGAUGAAGGCCUUAGGGUUGUAAAGCUCUUUUGCCCGGGAUGAUAAUGACAGUACCGGGAGAAUAAGCUCCGGCUAACUCCGUGCCAGCAGCCGCGGUA